AGAGUUUGAUCCAUGGCUCAGGAUGAACGCUGGCGGCGUGCUUAACACAUGCAAGUCGAACGAUGAAGCCCAGCUUGCUGGGUGGAUUAGUGGCGAACGGGUGAGUAACACGUGAGUAACCUGCCCUUGACUCUGGGAUAAGCCUGGGAAACUGGGUCUAAUACCGGAUAGGAACGUCCACCGCAUGGUAGUUGUUGGAAAGAUUUAUCGGUCAUGGAUGGACUCGCGGCCUAUCAGCUUGUUGGUGAGGUAAUGGCUCACCAAGGCGACGACGGGUAGCCGGCCUGAGAGGGUGACCGGCCACACUGGGACUGAGACACGGCCCAGACUCCUACGGGAGGCAGCAGUGGGGAAUAUUGCACAAUGGGCGAAAGCCUGAUGCAGCGACGCCGCGUGAGGGAUGACGGCCUUCGGGUUGUAAACCUCUUUCAGUAGGGAAGAAGCGAAAGUGACGGUACCUGCAGAAGAAGCACCGGCUAACUACGUGCCAGCAGCCGCGGUAAUACGUAGGGUGCGAGCGUUAUCCGGAAUUAUUGGGCGUAAAGAGCUCGUAGGCGGUUUGUCGCGUCUGUCGUGAAAGUCCGGGGCUUAACCCCGGAUCUGCGGUGGGUACGGGCAGACUAGAGUGCAGUAGGGGAGACUGGAAUUCCUGGUGUAGCGGUGGAAUGCGCAGAUAUCAGGAGGAACACCGAUGGCGAAGGCAGGUCUCUGGGCUGUAACUGACGCUGAGGAGCGAAAGCAUGGGGAGCGAACAGGAUUAGAUACCCUGGUAGUCCAUGCCGUAAGCGUUGGGCACUAGUGUGGGGACCAUUCCACGGUUUCCGCGCCGCAGCUAACGCAUUAAGUGCCCCGCCUGGGGAGUACGGCCGCAAGGCUAAAACUCAAAGGAAUUGACGGGGCCCGCACAAGCGGCGGAGCAUGCGGAUUAAUUCGAUGCAACGCGAAGAACCUUACCAAGGCUUGACAUGCAGGGUAAUCCGGCAGAGAUGUCGGGUCCGCAAGGGAUCUUGCACAGGUGGUGCAUGGUUGUCGUCAGCUCGUGUCGUGAGAUGUUGGGUUAAGUCCCGCAACGAGCGCAACCCUCGUCCUAUGUUGCCAGCGCGUGAUGGCGGGGACUCGUAAGAGACUGCCGGGGUCAACUCGGAGGAAGGUGGGGACGACGUCAAGUCAUCAUGCCCCUUAUGUCCAGGGCUUCACACAUGCUACAAUGGCCAGUACAGAGGGCUGCGAGACCGUGGGGUGGAGCGAAUCCCUUAAAGCUGGUCUCAGUUCGGAUCGGGGUCUGCAACUCGACCCCGUGAAGUCGGAGUCGCUAGUAAUCGCAGAUCAGCAACGCUGCGGUGAAUACGUUCCCGGGCCUUGUACACACCGCCCGUCACGUCAUGAAAGUCGGUAACACCCGAAGCCGGUGGCUUAACCCCUUGUGGGAGGGAGCCGUCGAAGGUGGGAUCGGCGAUUGGGACGAAGUCGUAACAAGGUAGCCGUA
rnacentral:rRNA from 1 species